CCAGCUCAGCCAGGCUCCACCUGCUCCUGGUCCCACUCCCCUGUGUGGAGAGAGGAUCUCAUACCAAAGGAAGUCAUUUUAUAGGUCAAGAGUUCAGUGCUGCUCCUGGCCAAGGGGAUGGCCCAUUUCCACUGUGGGUGGAAAGGCAGGGGUCCCAGAGUUCUGCACCCUGCCUUAUACCCACUCUGCUUCAUGUCACCAGGCUACUGGAGUCCCUCAGAGUUGCUGAUCUGCUCUGACACUCACUCGCCUGCCCACCCUGCUCUGACCACCUGAUCCUCACACCGCCUGGUUACCUUUUCACCAUUUUGAGAGGAGAGGCCCAAGUCCAACAGUGAGAGUCAGAAAGGCAGUUUGGAGGCCCUCGUGGUCACUGACCUGCUCUGACGCCUGCUCAUCUGUCUGCCCAACAUUCUCUGGCCCACCUGAUCCCCCACCCGACUGGAUACCUUGUUACAAUUUUGAAAGGAGAGGCCCACAUCUAACAGUAAGUGAGAAAGGCAGUUGGAGGCCCUCGUGGUCACUGACCUGCUCUGACGCUCACUCACCUGCCUGCCCUGCUCUGACCCACCUGAUCCCCACACCCGCCUGGUUACCUCGUUACCAUCUUGAGGAGAGGCCCACAUCCAAAAGUGAAAAUCAGAAAGGCAGUUGGAGGCCCUGUGGUCUCCGACCUGCUCUGACGCUCGCCCGUUUCUCCACCUCUCCCACCCCAUCCCUGGGUGCAUUUCCACCAAAGAGGCACAGCUCCAGCAGCGAGAGGUCACAAAAGUAAGUGUGACUUGCACUCUCACCACAUACUGACACUAGGGGACAGGGGCCUCUGGUGGGAGCCUGGAGUGCUCUGGUCUGUAGCCUAAGUGACAAGGACCUUCAGCACCAACCAACUGAAGAUGCAGCCCACUCAGGGAUCUGUGGUGUGUGGGAUCUUUCAGAGGUGCCUGAAUACCUGUGAGGAGCCUGAGGUCUGAGCUCAGACCACUGGCCCAGAAAAGGAAGGUGGGGAGGAGUAGUGAGGAGAGAGGAUGCAGGAGGAGGAGGAAGAGGUCGACGUGCAAGGAAGCU
rnacentral:lncRNA from 9 species